rnacentral:rRNA from 1 species
AAACCAACAGGGAUUGCCUUAGUAACGGCGAGUGAAGCGGCAAAAGCUCAAAUUUGAAAUCUGUCACCUUCGGUGUCCGAGUUGUAAUUUGAAGAUUUAAGGUUUACUGGGUCUUGUCUAUGUUCCUUGGAAUAGGACAUCACAGAGGGUGAGAAUCCCGUGCGAUGAGAUGCCGUAUUGUAACCUUUUUUCGACGAGUCGAGUUGUUUGGGAAUGCAGCUCUAAGUGGGUGGUAAAUUCCAUCUAAAGCUAAAUAUUGGCGAGAGACCGAUAGCGAACAAGUACAGUGAUGGAAAGAUGAAAAGAACUUUGAAAAGAGAGUGAAAAAGUACGUGAAAUUGUUGAAAGGGAAGGAUUUGAGAUCAGACUUGGUAUUUUGCAACCUUACUCUCGUGGUGGGGCCCCUGCAGUUUACUGGGCCAGCAUCAGUUUGGAUGAUGGGAUAAUGACAUUGGAAUGUGACUCUGCUUCGGUGGAGUGUUAUAGCCCUUGUUGAUACCGUCUAUCUAGACUGAGGACUGCGUCUUUGACAAGGAUGUUGGCAUAAUGAUCUUAAAUCGC